GGUAAAUUUUACAGGUCUUCUAAACUUGUUUUGGGGUUUUCUCGUUUACUU
rnacentral:tRNA from 1 species